rnacentral:rRNA from 1 species
GUGUCAGCAGCCGCGGUAAUACGGAGGGUGCAAGCGUUGUCCGGAUUUAUUGGGUUUAAAGGGUGCGUAGGCGGCUAUUUAAGUCAGCGGUGAAAGACUCCGGCUCAACCGGAGCAGUGCCAUUGAUACUGGAUAGCUUGAGUGUUGGAGGGGUACAUGGAAUUGAUGGUGUAGCGGUGAAAUGCAUAGAUACCAUCAGGAACACCGAUAGCGAAGGCAUUGUACUGGCCAACAACUGACGCUGAGGCACGAAAGCAUGGGGAGCGAACAGGAUUAGAUACCCUAGUAGUCC